rnacentral:rRNA from 1 species
AUUGAACGCUGGCGGCAGGCCUAACACAUGCAAGUCGAGCGGAUGAAGGGAGCUUGCUCCUGGAUUCAGCGGCGGACGGGUGAGUAAUGCCUAGGAAUCUGCCUGGUAGUGGGGGAUAACGUCCGGAAACGGGCGCUAAUACCGCAUACGUCCUGAGGGAGAAAGUGGGGGAUCUUCGGACCUCACGCUAUCAGAUGAGCCUAGGUCGGAUUAGCUAGUUGGUGGGGUAAAGGCCUACCAAGGCGACGAUCCGUAACUGGUCUGAGAGGAUGAUCAGUCACACUGGAACUGAGACACGGUCCAGACUCCUACGGGAGGCAGCAGUGGGGAAUAUUGGACAAUGGGCGAAAGCCUGAUCCAGCAAUGCCGCGUGUGUGAAGAAGGUCUUCGGAUUGUAAAGCACUUUAAGUUGGGAGGAAGGGCAGUAAGUUAAUACCUUGCUGUUUUGACGUUACCAACAGAAUAAGCACCGGCUAACUCCGUG